CCCUUAGAUGCUCUGGGCCGCACGCGCGCUACACUGGUCGAUGCAACGAGUUUCUUUCCUUGGCCGACAGGCCUGGGCAAUCUUUGAACAUCGAUCGUGAUCGGGAUAGAUUCUUGUAAUUUUUGAUCUUAAACGAGGAAUUCCUAGUAAACGCAAGUCAUCAGCUUGCAUUGAUUACGUCCCUGCCCUUUGUACACACCGCCCGUCGCUACUACCGAUUGAACGGUUUAGUGAGGGCAUCGGACUGGUCUCGGCCCGCCCUUCACCGGUGCGGCGCCGCCGGCCGGGAAGACGCUCGAACUUGAUCGUUUAGAGGAAGUAAAAGUCGUAACA
rnacentral:rRNA from 1 species